UACGUAGGGUGCAAGCGUUGUCCGGAAUUAUUGGGCGUAAAGAGCUCGUAGGUGGCGUGUCGCGUCUGCCGUGAAAGCCCAUGGCUUAACUGUGGGUCUGCGGUGGAUACGGGCAGGCUGGAGGCUGGUAGGGGCAAGCGGAAUUCCUGGUGUAGCGGUGAAAUGCGCAGAUAUCAGGAGGAACACCGGUGGCGAAGGCGGGUCUCUGGGCAGUAACUGACGCUGAGGAGCGAAAGCGUGGGGAGCGAACAGG
rnacentral:rRNA from 1 species